rnacentral:rRNA from 1 species
CGGCAGGCCUAACACAUGCAAGUCGAGCGGCAGCGGAAAGUAGCUUGCUACUUUGCCGGCGAGCGGCGGACGGGUGAGUAAUGUCUGGGAAACUGCCUGAUGGAGGGGAUAACUACUGGAAACGGUAGCUAAUACCGCAUAACCUCGAAAGAGCAAAGUGGGGGAUCUUCGGACCUCACGCCAUCGGAUGUGCCCAGAUGGGAUUAGCUAGUAGGUGAGGUAAUGGCUCACCUAGGCGACGAUCCCUAGCUGGUCUGAGAGGAUGACCAGCCACACUGGAACUGAGACACGGUCCAGACUCCUACGGGAGGCAGCAGUGGGGAAUAUUGCACAAUGGGCGCAAGCCUGAUGCAGCCAUGCCGCGUGUGUGAAGAAGGCCUUAGGGUUGUAAAGCACUUUCAGCGAGGAGGAAGGCAUCAUACUUAAUACGUGUGGUGAUUGACGUUACUCGCAGAAGAAGCACCGGCUAACUCCGUG